UUGACCUCAAAUCAGGKAGGGAAC
rnacentral:rRNA from 1 species